CUACCAUGCAGUCGAACGAUGAAGCCCAGCUUGCUGGGUGGAUUAGUGGCGAACGGGUGAGUAACACGUGAGCAACCUGCCCCUGACUCUGGGAUAAGCGCUGGAAACGGCGUCUAAUACUGGAUAUGUCCCGUCACCGCAUGGUGUGCGGGUGGAAAGAUUUUUCGGUUGGGGAUGGGCUCGCGGCCUAUCAGCUUGUUGGUGAGGUAAUGGCUCACCAAGGCGUCGACGGGUAGCCGGCCUGAGAGGGUGACCGGCCACACUGGGACUGAGACACGGCCCAGACUCCUACGGGAGGCAGCAGUGGGGAAUAUUGCACAAUGGGCGGAAGCCUGAUGCAGCAACGCCGCGUGAGGGAUGACGGCCUUCGGGUUGUAAACCUCUUUUAGCAGGGAAGAAGCGAGAGUGACGGUACCUGCAGAAAAAGCACCGGCUAACUACGUGCCAGCAGCCGCGGUAAUACGUAGGGUGCAAGCGUUAUCCGGAAUUAUUGGGCGUAAAGAGCUCGUAGGCGGUCUGUCGCGUCUGCUGUGAAAUCCCGAGGCUCAACCUCGGGCUUGCAGUGGGUACGGGCAGACUAGAGUGCGGUAGGGGAGAUUGGAAUUCCUGGUGUAGCGGUGGAAUGCGCAGAUAUCAGGAGGAACACCGAUGGCGAAGGCAGAUCUCUGGGCCGUAACUGACGCUGA
rnacentral:rRNA from 1 species